rnacentral:rRNA from 1 species
CACCAGACUCCUACGGGAGGCAGCAGUGGGGAAUAUUGCACAAUGGGGGAAACCCUGAUGCAGCGACGCCGCGUGAGCGAUGAAGUAUUUCGGUAUGUAAAGCUCUAUCAGCAGGGAAGAAGAUGACGGUACCUGACUAAGAAGCCCCGGCUAACUACGUGCCAGCAGCCGCGGUAAUACGUAGGGGGCAAGCGUUAUCCGGAUUUACUGGGUGUAAAGGGAGCGUAGACGGCGAUGCAAGCCAGAUGUGAAAGCCCGGGGCUCAACCCCGGGACUGCAUUUGGAACUGUGUGGCUGGAGUGUCGGAGAGGCAGGCGGAAUUCCUAGUGUAGCGGUGAAAUGCGUAGAUAUUAGGAGGAACACCAGUGGCGAAGGCGGCCUGCUGGACGAUGACUGACGUUGAGGCUCGAAAGCGUGGGGAGCAAACAGGAUUAGAUACCCUUGUAC